rnacentral:rRNA from 1 species
AUUGAACGCUGGCGGAAUGCUUUACACAUGCAAGUCGAACGGCAGCACGGGUGCUUGCACCUGGUGGCGAGUGGCGAACGGGUGAGUAAUACAUCGGAACGUGCCCAGACGUGGGGGAUAGCUCGGCGAAAGCCGAAUUAAUACCGCAUACGAUCUACGGAUGAAAGUGGGGGACCGCAAGGCCUCACGCGUUUGGAGCGGCUGAUGGCAGAUUAGGUUGUUGGUGGGGUAAAGGCCUACCAAGCCUGCGAUCUGUAGCUGGUCUGAGAGGAUGAUCAGCCACAUCGGGACUGAGACACGGCCCGAACUCCUACGGGAGGCAGCAGUGGGGAAUUUUUGGACAAUGGGGGCAACCCUGAUCCAGCCAUUCCGCGUGCAGGACGAAGGCCUCGGUUGUAACGUAGUACUUGUUACGGUACGAAAGGACCUACGGUUAGUUACCGUACGGGUCGUAGUGACGGUACGUAACGUAACGUAAGUACACCGGCGUAACCGUACGUACGUCCACGCCAGCCGCGGUAAACGUAAGUAACG